AGCCGGGAGCUGCUCCUGGUGGCGUAGUGGCGAACGGGUGAGUAAUGCGUCGAGACGUGCCGAGUAAUGGGGGAUAACGCAGCGAAAGUUGUGCUAAUACCGCAUACGCCCUGAGGGGGAAAGUGGGGGAUCGCAAGACCUCACGUUAUUCGAGCGGCCGACGUCUGAUUAGCUAGUUGGUGGGGUAAAGGCCUACCAAGGCGACGAUCAGUAGCGGGUCUGAGAGGAUGAUCCGCCACACUGGGACUGAGACACGGCCCAGACUCCUACGGGAGGCAGCAGUGGGGAAUUUUGGACAAUGGGGGCAACCCUGAUCCAGCCAUUCCGCGUGAGUGAAGAAGGCCUUCGGGUUGUAAAGCUCUUUCAGCUGGAGUGAAACGGUGCGCUCUAACAUAGCGCGCUAAUGACGGUACCAGCAGAAGAAGCACCGGCUAACUACGUGCCAGCAGCCGCGGUAAUACGUAGGGUGCGAGCGUUAAUCGGAAUUACUGGGCGUAAAGCGUGCGCAGGCGGAUUGUUAAGCAAGAUGUGAAAUCCCCGGGCUUAACCUGGGAAUGGCAUUUUGAACUUGGCAGUCUAGAGUGCGUCAGAGGGGGGCGGAAUUCCACGUGUAGCAGUGAAAUGCGUAGAGAUGUGGAGGAACACCGAUGGCGAAGGCAGCCCCCUGGGAUGACACUGACGCCCAUGUACGAAAGCGUGGUUAGCAAACAGGAUUAGAUACCCUGGUAGUCCACGCCCUAAACGAUGUCAACUGGUUGUUGGGGGAGUGAAAUCCCUUAGUAACGAAGCUAACGCGUGAAGUUGACCGCCUGGGGAGUACGGUCGCAAGAUUAAAACUCAAAGGAAUUGACGGGGACCCGCACAAGCGGUGGAUGAUGUGGAUAAAUUCGAUGCAACGCGAAAAACCUUACCUACCAUUGACAUGUCCAGAAACACUGAAGAGAUUUUGGUGUGCAUAGAAAGGGAGGUGGUAACACAGUGCUGCAAUCAGCCCGCUGGUCUUCGAUCAAGNUUNAANUCUUCCC
rnacentral:rRNA from 1 species